AGCGAACGCUGGCGGCAGGCUUAACACAUGCAAGUCGAGCGGGGACUUUCGGGUGUCAGCGGCGGACGGGUGAGUAACGCGUGGGAACGUGCCCUCUGGUUCGGAAUAACUCAGGGAAACUUGAGCUAAUACCGGAUACGCCCUUUUGGGGAAAGGCUUGCUGCCGGAGGAUCGGCCCGCGUCUGAUUAGCUAGUUGGUGAGGUAACGGCUCACCAAGGCGACGAUCAGUAGCUGGUCUGAGAGGAUGAUCAGCCACACUGGGACUGAGACACGGCCCAGACUCCUACGGGAGGCAGCAGUGGGGAAUAUUGGACAAUGGGCGCAAGCCUGAUCCAGCCAUGCCGCGUGAGUGAUGAAGGCCUUAGGGUUGUAAAGCUCUUUUAUCCGGGACGAUAAUGACGGUACCGGAGGAAUAAGCCCCGGCUAACUUCGUG
rnacentral:rRNA from 1 species